UACAGAGGUCUCAAGCGUUGUUCGGAUUCAUUGGGCGUAAAGGGUGCGUAGGUGGCGCUGUAAGUCGGGUGUGAAAUUUCGGAGCUUAACUCCGAAACUGCAUUCGAUACUGCGGUGCUUGAGGACUGGAGAGGAGACUGGAAUUCAUGGUGUAGCAGUGAAAUGCGUAGAUAUCAGGAGGAACACCGGUGGCGAAGGCGGCCUUCUGGGCCUGUUCUGACGCUGAGGAGCGAAAGCGUGGGGAGCAAACAGG
rnacentral:rRNA from 1 species